CCUACGGGAGGCAGCAGUGAGGAAUAUUGGUCAAUGGACGAGAGUCUGAACCAGCCAAGUAGCGUGAAGGAUGACUGCCCUAUGGGUUGUAAACUUCUUUUAUAAAGGAGUAAAACGAGGUACGUGUGCCUUUUUGCAUGUACUUUAUGAAUAAGGAUCGGCUAACGACGUGCCAGCAGCAGCGGUAAUACGGAGGAUCCGAGCGUUAUCCGGAUUUAUUGGGUUUAAAGGGAGCGUAGAUGGGUUGUUAAGUCAGUUGUGAAAGUUUGCGGCUCAACCGUAGAAUUGCAAUUGAUACUGGCAGUCGUGAGUACAGUUGAGGUAGGCGGAAUUCGUGGUGUAGCGGUGAAAUGCUUAGAUAUCACGAAGAACCCCGAUUGCGAAGGCAGCUUACUAAACUGUGACUGACAUUGAUGCUCGAAAGUGUGGGUAUCAAACAGGAUUAGAUACCCGAGUAGUC
rnacentral:rRNA from 1 species